UAGAAUAUAGUGUAUUGGUAGCACGGAGAAUUUUGAGUUCUUUGGAUUAGGUUCAAUUCCUAUUUUUCUAG
rnacentral:tRNA from 1 species